rnacentral:lncRNA from 1 species
GUGUAUUAUCUGCAGCCACCUGCAGGAAGAAGUUUCUGGCAGCCAGGCUUUCAGGAAGGCGGGGUGGGGUUUGGCUCGUUUGUGAGCUCAUUUGUCUUGUGGGUCCCCGGCUCCUACUAAUCUCCAACUGGCCAAAAGUAUCCAAGAAUCGCUUUGGGUGGAAAGAAAUAUGAUAGAGGGCAUGUAAGAAAAGGUGAGGAGAGAAAAUGACGCAAAACCAACAGAGGCUUCCAACCACGGAGGUGGGAGCCACAGGUGGGCUGUGGACACGUAGAAUCACUUCAGAAGGAAUCAGGACAUGGAAACCUGCAGUUACUGUCCCCAGCAUCGCCUCCUUCUGGACCUGCACUGCUGGGAAGCCGGUCUCUUUGAAGCAGAAAUGUUAGCACUUCUGGCUCCACUCUUACAUACUUCCCAAGGAGGGUGCCUAAGACUGGACCUCUUUGCCAUGGGAUCUUCAGCCCCCACCUCCCUGUUCCUAUGCCUGGUGAGGUAAGUUGGCCCAGGGAGCACGCCUGGAAGCCAGUCCUAUCCUGGGACAGCUGGCAAUAGUGGAACAAUGCUCAGAACUGACUGCAGAAGCACAUAAACAUGUCCUUCUAAUGCUCAAUCAAACAUGUCCGUCACUCAACGUCCCCUGACCCACGUCCCAAAAUUGCUACUCCCCUCCAAUGGCAUUUGACAAGAGAAAGUAAGACAGUGGGAAAAUCAAAGUGGAAAGAGAAAAUGGCCUUGAUCAACUGAGAUGUCAAGUUUAUUUUUGCAAACUUUAGAAAAUAUAUGACUUGGCAAGCACAUUCUGAGGGCCCCUGUCAGUACUUUGGAAGCGCCCUGUGCAGGAAGAGGGGCCCCAGUCAAAGUCAAAGUCAGCCAAAGUAUCCAGCUCAAACCUAGAGCCAUUGACUUAAAAGUCCACUCUUUCCAAGACACUGAAACAGCCUCAAAGCUACCUUUCUUAAUUUAUCACUUUAGCCCUUUUUAAGUGUUCAAUUCAGUGGCAUUAAGUUCAUUCACAUUCUUGUGCAACCAUCACCACAAUCCAUCUUCAGAAUUUUCCAUCUUCCCAAACUGAAACUUGUACUCAUUAAACAACUCCCCAUUCCUCCUCCCCAUUAGUGCCUGUAACUGCUCUUCUACUUCCUGUGCCUCUGAAUUUGACUCCUCUGGGGACCUCAUCUCAGUGGAAUCAUACAAUAUCUGUCCUUUUAUGUGUGGCUUAUUUCACUUAGCAUAAUAUUUGCAAGGUUCAUUCCUGUUGUAGCAUGUAUCAAAAAUUCAUUUCUUUUUAAGUCUGAAUAAUAUUCCAUUGUAUGUAUCGACCACAUUUUCUGUACCCAUUUAUCUAUUGGUGGACACUUGGGUUGCUUCCAUUUUUUGG